rnacentral:rRNA from 1 species
AUUGAACGCUGGCGGCAGGCCUAACACAUGCAAGUCGAACGGUAACAGGAAGAAGCUUGCUUCUUUGCUGACGAGUGGCGGACGGGUGAGUAAUGUCUGGGAAACUGCCUGAUGGAGUGGGAUAACUACUGGAAACGGUAGCUAAUACCGCAUAACGUCGCAAGAGCAAAGAGGGGGACCUUCGGGCCCCUUGCCAUCGGAUGUGCGCAGAUGGGAUUAGCUAGUAGGUGGGGUAACGGCUCACCUAGGCGACGAUCCCUAGCUGGUCUGAGAGGAUGACCAGCCACACUGGAACUGAGACACGGUCCAGACUCCUACGGGAGGCAGCAGUGGGGAAUAUUGGACAAAGGGCGCAAGCCUGAUGCAGCCAUGCCGCGUGUAUGAAGAAGGCCUUCGGGUUGUAAAGUACUUUCAGCGGGGAGGAAGGGCGUAAAGUUAAUACCUUUGCUCAUUGACGUUACCCAAAGAAGAAGCACCGGCUAACUCCGUG